rnacentral:snRNA from 1 species
UUACUUACCUCGCAGGGGAGACACCAUGAUCAAGAAGGCGGUUCACCCAGGGCGAGGCUUGUCCAUUGCACUCCGGCCAUGCUGACCCCUGCGAAUUCCCCAAAUGCGGGAAUCUCGACUGCAUAAUUUAUGGCAUGGGGAAGUCGUGGCCUAAUGGUUAGAGAGUUGGACUUCCAA